CGCGUCUCUGCCGAGGCGCACGCGCGGUCGCGCCCUGGGGGGCGGCUCGGCCGGGACGCGCUUGACCUUCCCAAGAUGGCGGCAAAAAAAGGGGCGGGAAAAAGGAGCACCACGGUCCGUAUGCUAGACUGCCCGCACGCCGCCCCGACGCCGCCCCGGCGGGAUUUUCCGUGAGGUAUGCAGGGCCGAGCACACGGGCCGUGGGUCAGUGGCGCCGCUGGCGGGCGGGUGGUGGGCGGGCGCCGACAGGCAGUGGCAAUGACGCCUCUCUCUGACGACGACCCGCAGCCGUUGCCGUCCCGGGAUGCCGGGUGACCUUGCCAAGAUGGCGACACAAAGGGGGCGCGAUCGAGGCUCGCGGUCCGUUCGCUGCGCUGCCCGCGCGGCGCUCCCAUGGCGGCGCCGCCCCGUCGGGGUUUUCCGCGGUGGUUCCGGUGCGGGGCUCACGGGCCGUGGGCUCGGCAGCGCCGCGGGCGGGCGGGUUUCGGGGGGCCGCUGACGGGCAUUGGCGGGGUGGCCUCUCUUCGCCGAGGUACUCACGGUCCAUGCUCUGCUGCUGGAGAGGGGUUUUGUACUGGGAAAGCUUAUUUUAUUUUUCCGAAUGAAAAUAAGCUGCCCAGUAUGCCCAUGUACCCGUCAGUAAAACACUUGCUUUGGUAGGGAAUUUAGUACUGAAAAGUAGGGGGUUUAUUUUGUUUUAGCGUGGAUGAGUCUCCAAUGACUUAAUAGUCACAACAAUGUCAGUAUUACAGCCGAAAGGUCUUAAUUGGAUAGAUGUUGAGGCAAAAAAUACACUGAUAUUCCUGUGCUGGCACAUAUCUGCAGCUGGGAAAGAGCAGAGGAACACCACUGUGCAGGUGUUAGCAGAAAAUUUGGGAAGAUCUGUUCUGGUGAAAUAUGGGAUUCAAGUUGAGGAUUGAUUCAUCAGUGGUGCUGUUAACACUGUCAGAAUGGCUCACUCACUCUCCACCCGGCUGGUGUGGCCUCAAAGGCUGCCCCUGCUGAGGGCAGAGUGUGUGAAGCCUCUGCUGAGCAGGCGCUGGCAUCCCCCCAGAACUCCUUCUCACGGCAGGGACGGAGACGGACCCAGCCCAGCACAUGGAAAUGGAUCUCUCCAGCUGAGCGCUCGAGUGCUGAAGCUACCAGGGAGCGUGCUCAGCACGACCCAGGCAACCCUCACAUCUCCAGGGCUAGUGAUUCUUGCACCUUCAGAGCCACAGUAUCAGCCAGCUUUUUUUUUCCCCAGGCUUUCAAUCACCUCUCAAGCAGACGAAUACUCCCCUUGGAAGCUGCUGUGCCCUGUGAGCCUGAGAGCCUGGCAGGCACAACCCGGGAGCAGCAGGGAGAGGUGGGUUCGUCGUGGAGGAUCCAGGAGCUCGGUGUGCGUGUCUGAGCCUGCAGUUCCAAGGUGCAGCAGGACCCAAGGUCUGCACACACCCAUGUACAGCACUUGUAAACAGCGUUAACGUGAAGAUAACGCGUGCGGGGAGUGUGCCGUGGGUUACCACAAGCGAUGAAGGAUUUUGGGACGGUGCCAAGGCAGUUUCCCCCUCAGCGCACUGGUUUUUUUUCCGGAAGAAUUACGCGAGAGCGGAAAAGUUGCAAUGGCAUCGCAGUUCCCUGCUCAGAAAAUGCCCAGGGAGUGAAGCACGGCCAAGUGGUGCCAUUNUAAACGUCAGGAGGAUGACGACAACUGUCAGGACACACUCUUAAGAGAAAUGAAUAAAGAUAAAGAAUAAAGAAUACUUGUUUACUAA
ensembl:lncRNA